UUCCACUUGGGGGCGCUAGACUCCCUUGAAGGUGGGUUCACUAUCUUCCCAGCAGGGUGUGAAAGCCAGUUCAGCUCCUGAACCCCACAAUUGUUCAACAGGCUUUUGGACCCUGACCGGUUUCCGAAGACAUAAUCUGGACAACUAGGACAUUUUCUUUCGGCACUCACAUGGCAGCGGCACCAGCAUUGUGUCUGGUUUAAGCAGGAGAGCUCUUCAAACCCAGGCCACGGGCAAGUAUGAAGCCUGAACACCGAACGAUACCCACAAGACAGUGGACCAGGAUCUCGUGGCCUACCACACUAGGUCUACAGCCAAGAAGAAGAGGAUGUCUCUGAGGAGGAUGAGCACACCAUCCUUCCAGAAGCGGAGGAGGAGGAGGCCUUCUCCCCAGGCUCUGGGGGACAUUGUGGGCUGCAGAAUUUCUCACGGAUGGAAGGAAGGAAGUACGUGGACAACAUCUGCAGACUCGCUUCAUUUUACUUUAUUCUCCUCUUCAGCCUUAGAAAUCUCAGCUUACAGAGAGGGGAAGAUGGGAACUUGGUUCGAUAGCUCUUUUUGUCUGUGGGGAGCUUACAUCUCAAGUCACAAAGGGAAAAUAAAUAUAAGAAGAAAUAAAAAUACACAUCCAAACCAUGAUGGGAAGUUCAUAUCUGUUCCCCUUAAAGAAUGUCCACUUUGGAAAUUGGAAUCCACACUCAGAUGAGACUUUUGAAAAAUCCUAAUUCUCAAGCAGGCUUUGGUAUUUCUCUUUCCCUGAAAAGGAACACCACUAGAAAAAGACAGACGGUACAGACGGAUUAAAAUGCAAGUUGGAUUUUUCGACUUAAGAGUUUACUGUGUGUGAACAGCAGUCAGUGGAAAUACUUGUCUUCCGAUUUCUCAAAAGGCAUGAAAAAGCCACCGUGGAGUUACUGGAUUUUGUUUCAAAGACUUUAGCUCCUUGUCUGCAGGGAUGCAGGGCCUCAAAGGAAGGGCCCGAGACCUCCUAAGAGGUAGUGUCCAACACCUGGGGCCAUGCGCACAGAGGGAAGUAGCCUUUCUCAGAAAAUGGAGCUGGGAGAGCUAAAAAAUGAAGGCGACAUAUCGAUCAAAUCGCUGUAAUAGAACGACGGCAGCCAGUUCACAGAGCGAGGCAGCUGUCAGCGACUCGGCCAAGAAUGAAGAGAAUUUGAAAAGAUAAUAACACACAGAGUUCACAGAAGCCACUAUAGACUCAUGGCGUCUGCGAAUUUAAUCCAUGUGCUUUGGGCAGAGAAAACAAUCCAAACCAGAGAUCCCUCUUGCUCAGACCAAAGGAACGCUGUGCCGUGUCCCGGAUGUCCCAUGUCAAGGACUCAACCUAGAUGCUGGAAGCCUGUGAGAAACCGGAACUCCGUCAUUUCAUUGCUGACACUGGAAAUGGCUCAAGUCUGCACCUUCAUUGGAAGGAGAAGAAAUAAGUCACACAGCACCGGAAUUAAUCCUCGUCAGGGUCUGUGUGAGGUCGGAAGUGUAGGGCGCCAUGAUCAAUCAGUAAGCACUGCCUACACUUGUCGGGUGAGCCCACACAAAUGAGGAAAUGAUUAUUAAAUUUAAACACAAUUUCUAAUAA